rnacentral:rRNA from 1 species
UAGGCUGCCACAUAAGUCAGGGGUGAAAGUCGGUUGCUCAACAAUCGAAUUGCCUUUGAAACUGUGUGGCUCGAGUAUAGAUGAGGUAGGCGGAAUGUGUAGUGUAGCGGUGAAAUGCAUAGAUAUUACACAGAACCCCAAUUGCGAAGGCAGCUUACCAAACUAUUACUGACGCUGAAGCACGAAAGCGUGGGUAGCGAACAGGAUUAGAUACCCUGGUAGUCCACGCCGUAAACUAUGCUCACUCGCUGUUGGCAAUAGAUCGUCAGCGGCUAAGGGAAACCGAUAAGUGAGCCACCUGGGGAGUACGAUCGCAAGAUUGAAACUCAAAGGAAUUGACGGGGGCCCGCACAAGCGGAGGAACAUGUGGUUUAGUUCGAUGAUACGCGAGGAACCUUACCUGGGCUUAAAUGUAGAGUGCAUAAAGUGGAAACAUUUUUUUCCUUCGGGACUCUUUACAAGGUGCUGCAUGGUUGUCGUCAGCUCGUGCCGUGAGGUGUCGGGUUAAGUCCCAUAACGAGCGCAACCCCUAUCGUUAGUUACCAGCACGUAGUGGUGGGGACUCUAGCGAAGCUGCCGGUGUAAACCGUGAGGAAGGUGGGGAUGACGUCAAAUCAGCACGGCCCUUAUGUCCAGGGCUACACACGUGUUACAAUGGUCGGUACAGUGGGCAGCCACAUAGCAAUAUGGAGCUAAUCUCAAAAGCCGAUCUCAGUUCGGAUUGGAGUCUGCAACCCGACUCCAUGAAGGUGGAUUCGCUAGUAAUCGCGCAUCAGCCAUGGCGCGGUGAAUACGUUCCCGGGCAUUGUACACACCGCCCGUCAAGCCAUGGAAGUUUGGGGUGCCUGAAGUUCGUAACCGCAAGGAGCGACACUAGGGUAAAACAUAUGACUGGGGCUAAGUCGUGANAAG